CCUACGGGAGGCAGCAGUGGGGAAUAUUGGACAAUGGGGGAAACCCUGAUCCAGCAAUGCCGCGUGAGUGAUGAAGGCCUUAGGGUUGUAAAGCUCUUUCCGCGGGGACCAUGAUGACGGUACCCGCAGAAGAAGCCCCGGCUAACUUCGUGCCAGCAGCCGCGGUAAUACGAAGGGGGCUAGCGUUGUUCGGAAUUACUGGGCGUAAAGGGCGCGUAGGCGGUCUUGUAAGUCAGAUGUGAAAGCCCCGGGCUCAACCCGGGAAUAGCAUUUGAUACUGCGAGGCUUGAGUCCGGGAGAGGAUGGCGGAAUUCCCAGUGUAGAGGUGAAAUUCGUAGAUAUUGGGGAGAACACCGGUGGCGAAGGCGGCCAUCUGGACCGGUACUGACGCUGAGGCGCGAAAGCGUGGGGAGCAAAGAGGAUUAGAUACCCUGGUAGUCCAGAUGUUGGGUUAAGUCCCGCAACGAGCGCAACCCUCAUCUUCAGUUGCCAUCAGUUCGGGUCGCAGCUAACGCAUUAAGCACUCCGCCUGGGGAGUACGGCCGCAAGGUUGAAACUCAAAGGAAUUGACGGGGGCCCGCACAAGCGGUGGAGCAUGUGGUUUAAUUCGAAGCAACGCGAAGAACCUUACCAGCCCUUGACAUGGGGAGUAUGGGUCGCAGAGACGUGACCCUUCAGUUCGGCUGGCUCCCACACAGGUGCUGCAUGGCUGUCGUCCAGCUCGUGUCGUGAGAUGUUGGGUUAAGUCCCGCAACGAGCGCAACCCUCAUCUUCAGUUGCCAUCGGUUCGGCCGGGCACUCUGAAGAAACCGCCGGUGACAAGCCGGAGGAAGGCGGGGAUGACGUCAAGUCCUCAUGGCCCUCCCCCGGCUGGGCUACACACGUGCUACAAUGGUGGUGACAAUGGGAAGCGAAGGAGCGAUCUGGAGCCAAUCCCAAAAAGCCGGUCGUAGUCCGGAUCGCAGUCUGCAACUCGACUGCGUGAAGUCGGAAUCGCUAGUAAUCGCGGAUCAGCUUGCCGCGGUGAAUACGUUCCCGGGCCUUGUACACACCGC
rnacentral:rRNA from 1 species